rnacentral:rRNA from 1 species
CCAAAGCUCCGAUUUUUUUGAAGAGCGCAUCUAUUAGAUUAAAACCAAUCGGGCUUGGCCCGUCAGUUGGUGACUCUGAAUAGCUAUGGCUGAUCGCAUGGUCUCGUACCGGCGACGUGUCUAUCAAGUGUCUGCCUUAUCAACUUUCGAUGGUAGUUUAUGUGCCUACCAUGGUUGUAACGGGUAACGGAGAAUAAGGGUUCGACUCCGGAGAGGGAGCCUGAGAAACGGCUACCACAUCCAAGGAAGGCAGCAGGCGCGCAAAUUACCCACUCUCGGCAUGAGGAGGUAGUGACGAAAAAUAACGAGACCGUUCUCUUCGAGGCCGGUUAUCGGAAUGGGUACAAUUUAAACCAGUUAACGAGGAUCUAUGAGAGGGCAAGUCUGGUGCCAGCAGCCGCGGUAAUUCCAGCUCUCAAAGUGUAUAUCGUCAUUGCUGCGGUUAAAAAGCUCGUAGUUGGAUCUGCGCCUCAGGACCUGGUCCGUCCUUUGGACGAGAACUGGGAUUCUAGGCUCAAUUAGUCGGUUUCUUCCCUGUGUUGCCUUCGUUGGUCGCGCAGGGUGGCCGGCGAGUUUACCUUGAAAAAAUUAGAGUGCUCAACGCGGGCUGACGCCUGAAUACUCGUGCAUGGAAUAAUGAAAUAGGAUCUCGGUUCUAUUUUGUUGGUUUUCUGAUCUGAGAUAAUGGUUAAGAGGGACGGACGGGGGCAUUCGUAUCGCUGCGUGAGAGGUGAAAUUCUUGGACCGUAGCGAGACGCCCGACUGCGAAAGCAUU